AUUGGACGCUGGCGGCAGGCCUAACACAUGCAAGUCGAGCGGAUGAAGGGAGCUUGCUCCUGGAUUCAGCGGCGGACGGGUGAGUAAUGCCUAGGAAUCUGCCUGGUAGUGGGGGAUAACGUCCGGAAACGGGCGCUAAUACCGCAUACGUCCUGAGGGAGAAAGUGGGGGAUCUUCGGACCUCACGCUAUCAGAUGAGCCUAGGUCGGAUUAGCUAGUUGGUGGGGUAAAGGCCUACCAAGGCGACAAUCCGUAACUGGUCUGAGAGGAUGAUCAGUCACACUGGAACUGAGACACGGUCCAGACUCCUACGGGAGGCAGCAGUGGGGAAUAUUGGACAAUGGGCGAAAGCCUGAUCCAGCCAUGCCGCGUGUGUGAAGAAGGUCUUCGGAUUGUAAAGCACUUUAAGUUGGGAGGAAGGGCAGUAAGUUAAUACCUUGCUGUUUUGACGUUACCAACAGAAUAAGCACCGGCUAACUUCGUG
rnacentral:rRNA from 1 species